UGCAAGUCGAGCGAGACCUUCGGGUCUAGCGGCGGACGGGUGAGUAACGCGUGGGAACGUGCCCUUCUCUGCGGAAUAGCCACUGGAAACGGUGAGUAAUACCGCAUACGCCCUUCGGGGGAAAGAUUUAUCGGAGAAGGAUCGGCCCGCGUCUGAUUAGGUAGUUGGUGGGGUAAUGGCCUACCAAGCCUACGAUCAGUAGCUGGUUUUAGAGGAUGAUCAGCCACACUGGGACUGAGACACGGCCCAGACUCCUACGGGAGGCAGCAGUGGGGAAUCUUAGACAAUGGGCGCAAGCCUGAUCUAGCCAUGCCGUGUGAGUGAUGAAGGCCCUAGGGUCGUAAAGCUCUUUCGCCAGGGAUGAUAAUGACAGUACCUGGUAAAGAAACCCCGGCUAACUCCGUGCCAGCAGCCGCGGUAAUACGGAGGGGGUUAGCGUUGUUCGGAAUUACUGGGCGUAAAGCGCGCGUAGGCGGACCAGAAAGUUGGGGGUGAAAUCCCGGGGCUCAACCCCGGAACGGCCUCCAAAACUCCUGGUCUUGAGUUCGAGAGAGGUGAGUGGAAUUCCGAGUGUAGAGGUGAAAUUCGUAGAUAUUCGGAGGAACACCAGUGGCGAAGGCGGCUCACUGGCUCGAUACCGACGCUGAGGUGCGAAAGUGUGGGGAGCAAACAGGAUUAGAUACCCUGGUAGUCCACGCCGUAAACGAUGUCUACUAGAAGCUCGGUUCCUCGGAACUGUUUUUCAAAGCUAACGCAUUAAGUAGACCGCCUGGGGAGUACGGCCGCAAGGUUAAAACUCAAAUGAAUUGACGGGGGCCCGCACAAGCGG
rnacentral:rRNA from 1 species